rnacentral:rRNA from 1 species
AUUGAACGCUGGCGGCAUGCUUUACACAUGCAAGUCGAACGGCAGCGCGGGCUUCGGCCUGGCGGCGAGUGGCGAACGGGUGAGUAAUUCAUCGGAACGUGCCCAGUAGUGGUGGAUAGCCCGGCGAAAGCCGGAUUAAUACCGCAUACGACCUGAGGGUGAAAGCGGGGGACCGAAAGGCCUCGCGCCAUUGGAGCGUCCGAUGUCGGAUUAGCUAGUUGGUGGGGUAAAGGCUUACCAAGGCGACGAUCCGUAGCUGGUCUGAGAGGACGACCAGCCACACUGGGACUGAGACACGGCCCAGACUCCUACGGGAGGCAGCAGUGGGGAAUUUUGGACAAUGGGGGCAACCCUGAUCCAGCCAUGCCGCGUGCGGGAAGAAGGCCUUCGGGUUGUAAACCGCUUUUGUUCGGGAAGAAAUCCUCUGGGCUAAUACCCCGGGGGGAUGACGGUACCGGAAGAAUAAGCACCGGCUAACUACGUG